rnacentral:rRNA from 1 species
AUUGAACGCUGGCGGCAGGCCUAAUACAUGCAAGUCGAACGAGUGGCGGACGGGUGAGUAAUGUCUUGGAACCUGCCCGAUGGAGGGGGAUAACUACGAGAAACGGUAGCUAAUACCGCAUACGAUCGGAUGGGCCCAGAGGGGAUUAGCGAGUGGGUGGGGUAACGGCUCACCAAGGCGACGAACCCUAGCUGGUCUGAGAGGGUGACCGGCCACACUGGAACUGAGACACGGUCCAGACUCCUACGGGAGGCAGCAGUUGUGAAUCUUGCACAAUGGGCGCAAGCCUGAUGCAGCAAAGCCGCGUGUAUGAAGAAGGCUUUCGGGUUGUAAAAUACUUUCAGCGAGGAGGCGUUACUCAAAGAAGAAGCCCCGGCUAACUCCGUGCCAGCAGCCGCGGUAAUUC